rnacentral:lncRNA from 1 species
UCUUUAGCAACAUCUUUUUUACUACAGAUUGGUGUCGCCAAGUGAUACGCAGAGACAAGAUAUGCUAUAGUGGAAGGUUCUAAAUUAACUUUGACUUGGGUGAGUUUCUUCAAAUUGCACCAGAAGCAGUUUACAGGAUUUUCGCAUUCCGACAGCUGAAACAAAGCCGCAAGUGCUGCGAAUCGAACCCGCGACCUCAAGUACAGCAGCAGAGAACCACUGCCAAAUAAAAAAUGUUUCAAGUAACACUUCAGUGAUACUUCACUUUGCCUCGUUUUCAGCUCAGCUGUUUCCCAGCUCCUUCUGGAGACAGUUAACGCCACUUUAUAUAAUUUUUAUUUUAUAACACUCAUGACCUCAACAAGAGGCUCAGAGCAUCGCAAAGUGAGACCGAGUAAAGUAAAGGAAAAGAGACAGGACAAAUAACAGUGCAACCAGAUUUUACAUCUACGGUGCAGUUAAAACAUCAGACUGACCUCGAAGCUAGUUAUGUGGUAAGGUUAAAAUACUCGUCUAUAUACACAAUGUGGAACUGAAUUUAAAGAACUGGCAUCAGAAACCAAAAGUUGAAUAAGCUAAAACGUGUAGCACUACCUGAAAUGUACAUUUAACAACGCUCACAAAGCAAGGAGAUUGAAUGUGCCAAGCUCUGGUGAGAGAAUGCAACGUGUACUCGCCUGGUGCGACAGCUAAGCCCUACCACUUUCGCCUCCAUGACUCAACCUAGCUUCCGAAAAAACGCACGAGGAAUUCCUGGAAGAUGACCGCGGUUGUCCAGAUUAUCUACAGUCACCAGCGCAUGCUGUGGGUCAGCCUAGGAGAGGCAUCCACGGCUGGAGGUUCGUGGCGGGUCUGGUAUGCGAUGUAGCCUUCCCACCUGAGCCCGACACAACGCAGGCUCUGAUGCCUUUGUCAAAUGCCGACAUUUCAUACAGCACUACAAUGUCACUAAACUAAAUAAAAUUUGUAAAGCUUAAGAUGGGAGGCCUAAGAAAAACCAGUCAUCGAUUAAAAAAUAAAAGAAACUAGUGAAACUAAUGUGGAACCACAGUACUAAAACUUUCAGCAUCCUUUCUUUCAGCGCAGCAAAUGAUGAUGGCCGAGAGGAUUUAAAAGGAGCACGGUGAAACUUUCAGCGCUGCCACGCCUUCUUCGCGUCUUCGUGUUUUCCUUCUCUGCAGUGGAAGUGGUGAGGCGAGAAGGCCAUGGCAAAUGACGCACACAUGCGCACGCACGUAUACACACACACAUACACAGUGGCCGCCACCGAGGAGGAGUCUCUUGGGUUACGCAAAGGUGGCCGCCAUGUCCUCUUCGUUUUCACCUUUAGAGGAAUCGUCCGCGAGUGCUGCGAUUGCAGAUACGGCGCGCAUUCGCGUCUUCGCGUGCACAUUUGUCCGCACGGUUGGUGGAAGCCGUGGGUCCGCACAAAAGUCAAGGUCGGGGACCACGGGGUUCUCACGCAACACAUCACUGGGGUCCUCUGGAUAUGAGACGGCCGCUGGCCGCU